AUACACAAGUCUGUUAAGAAUGAAUCCUUAAAUAAGGCUUUUAAGGAUUAAGUCCUUAACUCCUCAUCUCCUCCCCACCCCAGGAUCAACAUCCUCUCCACCCUACGAUCAACAUCAUCACCAAACCACUUUCGAUCAAAAAAACUCUCUCGAGAGAGACGAAACCAAUGGCGCCUUCUUCCUCAAGCGGCCUCACCGAGGAAUCACAGUAGAAAUCACGGCCGAGGAAAUUGAAGCCGACGCUGAUACCGGUGGUGGCCAGAGUUAGAGCGAAGACGGCGGCAAGACGCAGCCUGGCCUGGUCUUUAUCCCUCCGAAUACCAGAAAGGCGCCGCCACUUUCCAGAAUCGCUUCCACAGAGCUCUCAACUCAGACGCCUUAUCCAGAAAUUUUUGCUGGAUGUGUCGUUGUUAUCUACAUUGAUUUAGAUGUCUAUAUGUCUAGUUGGGUGGCUAGAUGUGUCGUUGUUAUUGAAUCCUUAAAAAGUGUAGAACUUUUCAAGCACAAGUCGCUAUACAUUAAUGGCAAUCUGUCUAUUUAGUUUUUGUUUUGCAUAUAAGAAACAGAGGAGCCUUUAUUGUUUUUUGUUCUUGGACUUUGCUCUAUGUUUCUGCUUUGUUACUGUUAUCAUCAUUACAUCAUAAAAUUUGUUCCUUUAAGUUUUCUUCACUUGCAUCUCUGUGGAUUAUCCCCUCUGCUGUGUAUCAUUGAGUUUUAGAUAUGCAGAGCCUUAAAGUUUUCGACUUUUGUUAAAUUAAUAAGCAGGAAAGUAAAUGAGGAAGAAGGUUGAGUGAUUGGUAAAUGAUCUUGAAGUUCUUAACUUUCUUUUCUUUUUGGUGUGUAAGGAUUGUCAUCAAGCUCUUGUCUUAAGCAACGGCCAAUGCCGAUGGACAACAUCCGCAUUACACCUGAAGCAACCUAUGAAGCUGUGAUUGCUGACUCUAAACUGUUCAUGGGUUCCUUGGAGAGGCUACACUCUCAAGUGGGUACUAAAUUCAUGGGAGAUGGAAAGAAGCAUGAGUGAAAAGGAAGGUGUAGCUUUCAGUGAAGCUCAAUGGCAGGAGCUUGAGAGACAGAGGAAUAUAUACAAGUACAUGAUGGCUUCUCUUCCUGUUCCUUCUUAGCUUCUUACACCCUUCUCAAAGAACCCAUCACACACCAACCAUCAACAUGGAUUGGCCUUAUGGAUCCGUGUUGCACAUGCUCUAAAAAGAUAAAUGAAACUAUUUGAAGUGUAUGUAUCCGUCCCUUCCUUCCCAAGCAAACAAAGGAACGUGACAGAAAAUUCAUAGGUAUCAACAAUAAACGAGGAACAGUUUACGGUUUUAACUACUCUUAUAUCUUCACAACUUCUCUUGCUUGCUUCUUCAGCAUUGUGUCUGAUAUGACUACUAGUAGUAAUAAUAAAAUUUGUAUCAUUCGGAAAGAAUUAUUUCCUUAUUUAUUGAUGUGUCUCGUCGGUGAUAUGGUAGAAACGAUAAGCGUUACUACAGAAGACCUAUGGAAAACAGCUAAUAAUAUUUUCAAAUACGUUCCCAUGCAUAUCUUGACGAACAAAUUUGAUACACAACCAGAAUCUAAUGUCAGUAUCAUUGAGUGCGUCGCGUGAACCCAUUAACCAAGCAUAUUGGAAAAAACAGUAGGGUAUGUGUUUAGCUGUUUCUUUAGUUAAUAUAUGUCUAUUCUUUCAAUAUCUCUAAACUCGAGUUCAUAUUUGAUUGUGAUGUUCAUUCGACUCGGAAUCUUGGAUCAUCAAUAUGGAAGAUGAAAACGUUCGAAACAAGAAGGAAGCAUGUCCCUCUCUAAGGCCUUAGGUCUUGAGUAAUGAUAUUGAUCAUCACUCAAGAGUCAUUGCAUCGGUGAAGGUGAUGUACCAACAUGGUUUGCUAACUUCUAGUUUUUAUAUAACUAGAUGAUUUUACCAUGGUCACUGCUAUAAAUAUUUAUAAAAUAAUUAGUUAUAUGAAUAAAUGUUGUUGUGAAUUCAAUUCAUUAUGUUUUGUUAUUAUUUCUUUUGGACAAGGCUUAUGAAAACCUA